rnacentral:Y_RNA from 1 species
GGCUGGUCUGAAUGCAGUGGUGUUUACAAACUAAUUGAUCACAACCAGUUACAGAUUCCUUUUCCACUCCCACUGCUUCACCUGACUAGCCUUAA